AGUGAACGCUGGCGGUAGGCCUAACACAUGCAAGUCGAACGGCAGCACAGUAAGAGCUUGCUCUUACGGGUGGCGAGUGGCGGACGGGUGAGGAAUACAUCGGAAUCUACUUUUUCGUGGGGGAUAACGUAGGGAAACUUACGCUAAUACCGCAUACGACCUACGGGUGAAAGCAGGGGAUCUUCGGACCUUGCGCGAUUGAAUGAGCCGAUGUCGGAUUAGCUAGUUGGCGGGGUAAAGGCCCACCAAGGCGACGAUCCGUAGCUGGUCUGAGAGGAUGAUCAGCCACACUGGAACUGAGACACGGUCCAGCCUCCUACGGGAGGCAGCAGUGGGGAAUAUUGGACAAUGGGCGCAAGCCUGAUCCAGCCAUACCGCGUGGUGAAGAAGGCCUUCGGGUUGUAAAGCCCUUUUGUUGGGAAAGAAAAGCAGCAGGUUAAUACCCCGCUGUUCUGACGGUACCCAAAGAAUAAGCACCGGCUAACUUCGUG
rnacentral:rRNA from 1 species